UUAUAUCCGAAUCCUUCAGAUCCAUUGAAUGGGGAGGCUGCUGCGCUAAUGUUGCAUGAUCAAUCAGCUUAUGAACAAAAAGUGAAAGAAUACUGCCGGCUAUUCGCAAAGCCGGAGGACGUCGGUAAUUCUCCAGAAGACGAAUCAAGCGACGAAGAAAUGAUUGAAAAUGAAUAUGAUUCUAGUGAUGAACAAAUGUUAGGAAAACCCGACCCUUGAUAAUAGGGUUCACUGUUCCCGGCACAUUGUUGCAGGGCGAAAAGAAAUCAGAUCAUUUCAUAUGCCACAUUGUAAAUAAAAAUACUCAACAAUGAAAUUAUAUAUAUAUGGGGAUUCUUUGAAAUGACU